rnacentral:lncRNA from 1 species
UUUUUUUUUUGUUUUUGUGUGUGUAUGUAAAAACCGUGGUAUGGUUGCUUACGAGUGUUGUAUAACCUACUGCACUCAAUUCUAUACUUAACUCAAUAUAUUGUUAUAGAACACUUAACUCAACUACUAGACCGGAUACCAAUAUAUUGUUAUUUUUUUUUUGGAAAUUUUGUUUUACUGGUUUCAUACUUUGGAGUAGCAUUCUAGAUAUGCACCAAUCUGUUAGAAUUUUUAGACAAUUAGAUGAUUGCUAUCCUGGUAAACCAAUCAUGAAAAAUCCUGAUGGAAAUUGUGAUCCUGAGAAAAGACUAGUGUUUAAGUGUUUACGUAUAUAUGGCUCGUCAGGCCACUAUAAGAAAAUCUCCUCACAAAGUGCCGGCAACUAUUGGUGUGCAAUCAGGCGUUUGAAAGAAAAGGGACAUUUAAUUCUUUGCAACUCAUCCC